rnacentral:lncRNA from 1 species
UUUCCUGGGAUAUAGAAUUCUAAACCCUCCGAUAAAAAGGAUGUGACCCUGCUUCCAAAGUCGUGGACUAAGCUCAAGAGUAGUAAUUUGUAAUACACCUAGUAGUAGUCCUCAACUGGUGAGACUCCGGUGAUUAAUAGUGCUAUCAGCUUGUCUAUGUUUGCUAUGUUUUGUAUGCUUGGAAUCCUUGAAGUAUGGUUUGAAAGUGACAGUCCAUGUCUUAGCCUAAUUCCAAUGCUUGGAAAUUCAUGGACUAAGCUAAAGAGUAGUUAUUUGUAAUACACCUAGUAGUAGUCCUCAACUGGUGAGACUCCGGUGAUUAUUAGUGCUAUGUGGAGGCUUCAAUAUAUUCAUAAAUUACUACAAAAUAUAAAGAGAACAAAAUUACAGAGUCACACACAUAAGAUUUUAAUGUAUCACAUAGACACGUAAGAUUUUAAUGUGUCA